UGGGGAAUAUUGGACAAUGGGCGCAAGCCUGAUCCAGCCAUGCCGCGUGAGUGACGAAGGCCUUAGGGUUGUAAAGCUCUUUUGGCGGGGACGAUAAUGACGGUACCCGCAGAAUAAGCCCCGGCUAACUUCGUGCCAGCAGCCGCGGUAAUACGAAGGGGGCUAGCGUUGUUCGGAAUCACUGGGCGUAAAGCGCACGUAGGCGGACUUUCAAGUCAGGGGUGAAAUCCCGGGGCUCAACCUCGGAACUGCCUCUGAUACUGCUAGUCUAGAGUCCGGAAGAGGUGGGUGGAAUUCCUAGUGUAGAGGUGAAAUUCGCAGAUAUUAGGAAGAACACCGGUGGCGAAGGCGGCCCACUGGUCCGGUACUGACGCUGAGGUGCGAAAGCGUGGGGAGCAAACAGGAUUAGAUACCCCCGUAGUCCCUGAGCGGGCUGGCAAGGCGCAU
rnacentral:rRNA from 1 species